rnacentral:rRNA from 1 species
UACGGAGGGUGCGAGCGUUGUCCGGAAUCAUUGGGCGUAAAGGGCGCGUAGGUGGCCCGGUCAGUUCGUGGUGAAAGCGCGGGGCUCAACCCUGCGUCGGCCAUGAAUACUGCCGCGGCUGGAGCACUGUAGAGGCAGGCGGAAUUCCGGGUGUAGCGGUGGAAUGCGUAGAGAUCCGGAAGAACACCGGUGGCGAAGGCGGCCCGCUGGGAUCUGGCCUGACGCUGAGGCGCGACAGCGUGGGGAGCAAACAGGAUUAGAAACCCGUGG